CUUCACCGACCCCAGCCACAGGGGCUUCUCGGGUGAGCGUCCGCGUCCGUAGGCGGCGACCAGGGCCUGGCCCUC
rfam:Streptomyces niveus NCIMB 11891 chromosome, whole genome shotgun sequence.